CUUGUUUUUUGAGGGAAUGGGGGUGGAACAAUAAUCUUUUCAGCUGUGACUGGUGGUGUGGAAUCGGGCAGCUCUUGGAAGUAGGAGUUUUUCAGUCUUCCAAAAUGUCAGAAAAAGUUCGUUUGCUCUCAAGAGGAGCCCAUGGCCUGAUGGAUUCCAGCAAAAGGCAGGGGAAAAAACUGACCUGAAUAGAUUAGGCUUUUCUGCUAAGGAGACAAAUUUCCUUCUCCUCGCUGUGGAGUCCUUGGCAGCAGACUCUAAAACUUAAGCCAGAGAACUGCUAUCAAAUUCAGUGGAUGCUGCAAGGGAAUUUGGAACUACAGCCAAGCAAUAGUAAAGGGUGCUUCUAUAAACACCUAAUGUAAUUUUGCAUCAAGUUGCAUCUGCCAUUUUUUAAGGGGGUGGGGUAGUUUCUUGAAAUCCCAUCAACUUAGUUUCAUUUUGAGGGUGGGGAAUCUUUGGACCUCUGGAUGCUUUGGCCUUCAGCUGCCAUCAACUCCACUCAUUCAACGUAACCAAUGGUAUCUGUGAAUCACAGGAUGAACUGUCUGGAGGGACACAGAAUCUCUGAACUUUGAUCAUUAUGGUGGUCAAAGUUAGAGAACCAUAACAUUGAAGGAGAUCACAAGGGCCACCUGGUCCUUUCAUUAUCUCAAGCUGAAGUUCUGCUCGGUCAGAAGAUGAAGCAGACAUAGAAUUGGUGCAAA